rnacentral:tRNA from 1 species
AAAGUAGAAGUUUUAAAUGUUUGGUUUGCAACCAAGAGAAGAUAAAAUACUUUAUUUAUCCUACUUUA